UACGUAGGGUCCGAGCGUUGUCCGGAAUUAUUGGGCGUAAAGGGCUCGUAGGCGGUUCGUCACGUCGGGAGUGAAAACUCGGGGCUUAACCCCGAGCCUGCUUCCGAUACGGGCAGACUAGAGGUAGGCAGGGGAGAGCGGAACUCCUGGUGUAGCGGUGGAAUGCGCAGAUAUCAGGAAGAACACCGGUGGCGAAGGCGGGUCUCUGGACAGUUGCUGACACUGAGGCGCGACAGCGUGGGGAGCAAACAGG
rnacentral:rRNA from 1 species